rnacentral:tRNA from 1 species
GGUUAUGGNACUGGCUUGAAACUAGUUAUAGGAGGUUCGAUUCCUUCCUUUCUU